rnacentral:tRNA from 1 species
CCCGGGCGUGGGCGCAGAGGCCGCCGCCGCCGUUUUGGCAAAACGGAGCACGCCGGUUCGAAUCCGGCCCCCGGGA